UACGUAGGGGGCAAGCGUUUGUCCGGAUUUAUUGGGCGUAAAGAGCGUGUAGGCGGUUAUACAGGUCCGCUGUGAAAACUGGAGGCUUAACCUCCAGACGUCGGUGGAAACCGUAUGACUAGAGUCCGGAAGAGGAGAGUGGGAAUUCCUGGUGUAGCGGUGAAAUGCGCAGAUAUCAGGAAGAACACCCGUGGCGAAGGCGGCUCUCUGGGACGGUACUGACGCUGAGACGCGAAAGCGUGGGGAGCGAACAGG
rnacentral:rRNA from 1 species